UACGGAAGGCAGCAGUGGGGAAUAUUGCACAAUGGGCGAAAGCCUGAUGCAGCUAUGCCGCGUGUAUGAAGAAGGCCUUAGGGUUGUAAAGUACUUUCAUCGGGGAGGAAAAAACAAAACUAAUAAUUUUAUUUCUUGACGUUACCCGAAAAAGAAGCACCGGCUAACUCCGUGCCAGCAGCCGCGGUAAUACGGAGGGUGCUAGCGUUAAUCAGAAUUACUGGGCGUAAAGAGCACGUAGGUGGUUUUUUUAGGUCAGAUGUGAAAUCCCUGGGCUUAACCUGGAACUGCAUUUUGAAACUGAAAUACUAGAGUAUCGUAGAGGGAGGUAGAAUUCUAGGUGUAGCGGUGAAAUGCGUAGAUAUCUGGAGGAAUACCUGUGGCGAAAGCGGCCUCCUAAACGAAUACUGACACUGAGGUGCGAAAGCGUGGGGAGCAAACAGGGAUUAGAUACC
rnacentral:rRNA from 1 species